rnacentral:rRNA from 1 species
GACAGAGGGUGCAAACGUUGUUCGGAUUUACUGGGCGUAAAGCGCGUGUAGGCGGCUUUACAAGUCGGAUGUGAAAGCCCACGGCUCAACCGUGGAAGUGCAUCCGAAACUGUAUCGCUGGAGUCCCGGAGAGGAAGGUGGAAUGCUUGGUGUAGAGGUGAAAUUCGUAGAUAUCAAGCAGAACACCUGCGGCGAAGGCGGCCUUCG